rnacentral:rRNA from 1 species
AAGGAAUAUUGGUCAAUGGAGGAAACUCUGAACCAGCCAUCCCGCGUGCAGGAAGAAUGCCCUAUGGGUUGUAAACUGCUUUUAUCUGGGAAGAAAAGCCGGCAUUUAUGUUGGUCUGACGGUACCAGAGGAAUAAGCACCGGCUAACUCCGUGCCAGCAGCCGCGGUAAUACGGAGGGUGCAAGCGUUAUCCGGAAUUACUGGGUUUAAAGGGUGCGUAGGCGGCGCUGUAAGUCAGUGGUGAAAGGUUCCGGCUUAACCGGAGAAUGGCCUUUGAUACUGCAGUGCUAGGAUUGGGUUGAGGUUGGCGGAAUGUGACAUGUAGCGGUGAAAUGCAUAGAUAUGUCAUAGAACACCGAUUGCGAAGGCAGCUGACUGGACCUUGAUUGACGCUGAGGCACGAAAGCGUGGGGAGCGAAC